rnacentral:rRNA from 1 species
AGCACCUCAAGUGGUCAGGAUGAUUAUUGGGCCUAAAGCAUCCGUAGCUCGUUUUGUAAGUUUUCGGUUAAAUCCAUGCGCUUAACGUAUGGGCUGCCGGGAAUACUGCAUAACUAGGAAGUGGGAGAGGUAGACGGUACUCGGUAGGAAGGGGUAAAAUCCUUUGAUCUAUUGAUGACCACCUGUGGCGAAGGCGGUCUACCAGAACACGUUCGACGGUGAGGGAUGAAAGCUGGGGGAGCAAACC